rnacentral:rRNA from 1 species
GGAUUAGAUACCCUGGUAGUCCACGCCCUAAACGAUGUACACUAGUUGUUGUGAGGCUAGACCUUGCAGUAAUGCAGUUAACACAUUAAGUGUACCGCCUGGGGAGUACGGUCGCAAGAUUAAAACUCAAAGGAAUAGACGGGGACCCGCACAAGCGGUGGAGCAUGUGGUUUAAUUCGACAUACGCGAAGAACCUUACCUGGACUUGACAUAGUAAGAAUAUUUUAGAGAUAGAAUAGUGUCUGCUUGCAGAAACUUGCAUACAGGUGCUGCACGGCUGUCGUCAGCUCGUGCCG